AUACAAGGCCAUUUACAGGUGAUGGACUAAAGACUGGCUUCUCUUUGUUGCUAUCAUAUUCACUGACGUUGCUAAUACUUUUUCUCCGUGGCUUAGCCUCUCCAAGCAUUGUUAACACAUCCCUCAUGGAUGGUCUAUCCUUGGGGAGCUUAGCAGUGCAAAGAAGUGCUAUCCUAAGGACUAAUUGCAUCUCUUCUUGGACAUGCUUGCUGUUACCUACGCUGUUAUCUAGUGCUUCUUCUAAAGGUCUAUUGUCCCUAAUCUUUCUUCGAAUCCAUUCAACUAUGCCCACAGAUUCUCCAAACUCAGGAUCUAAUGGUCGCUUUCCAGUGAGAAGUUCUAGUAGAACUACUCCAUAGCUGUAAAUG
rnacentral:misc_RNA from 1 species